CCUACGGGAGGCAGCAGUAAGGAAUAUUGGUCAAUGGACGAAAGUCUGAACCAGCCAUGCCGCGUGAAGGAUUAAGGCCCUCUGGGUUGUAAACUUCUUUUAUCUGGGACGAAAAAAGGGUAUUCUUACUCACUUGACGGUACCAGAGGAAUAAGCACCGGCUAACUCCGUGCCAGCAGCCGCGGUAAUACGGAGGGUGCAAGCGUUAUCCGGAUUUACUGGGUUUAAAGGGUGCGUAGGUGGGCUUGUAAGUCAGUGGUGAAAUCUCCGGGCUUAACCCGGAAACUGCCAUUGAUACUAUAGGUCUUGAAUUAUCUGGAGGUAAGCGGAAUAUGUCAUGUAGCGGUGAAAUGCUUAGAUAUGACAUAGAACACCAAUUGCGAAGGCAGCUUACUACGGAUAUAUUGACACUGAGGCACGAAAGCGUGGGGAUCAAACAGGAUUAGAUACCCUGGUAGUCCACGCCCUAAACGAUGGAUACUCGACAUCAGCGAUACACUGUUGGUGUNUGAGCGAAGANAUAGUAUCCACCNCGGAGACGANCGCAGAUAGAACACAAGAAGUAGAGCGUGAGACGNGACGACGGACGACGACGAGGGAGGAGG
rnacentral:rRNA from 1 species